AUGUAUAUAUGUAUGUGUAUAUGCGUACAUAUACGUAUGUAUAUAUACGUAUGUAUAUAUAUAUUAUUAUAUGAUAGAACGCCACGCAUCCUCUUCUAAGUGAGUCUUAUCUUAAUAAUUUUGGUGCGCACUCUAUACGAUCUUUUUACUCUUUCGUUUUCCUCUCUUUUUCUCUCUCUUAUUCUUUUUCCUCCUCUUCUCCUACUAUUCUAUUCUAUUACUCUGUCACUCUCUCUCCCUCACUCCUCCUCCUUUGCUCACGUGGCUCCUACGUGACCAUAGGCUGUCUUUAUUUCUUUCUCUCCGUUGUAGCUGGAACAAGGAAGAUGUGUUCUUGUUUGUCUCUUGUCCUAGCUUUAUUUACGCGUUCGCCACCAUAACCUCAUUUAAGCUUAGCAGUCCUUCCUGUUUGUUUUCACUGUCCUAUUUGUGUUACCUAUUUUGACCCUCCGCAAAAAUCCCAAAUUUUAUUUAAUUUGCUUUGCGGGAACAACUGUUUUAUCGAAAGCGUAUAUUGUUGUUAGAUGUUCGAAAUACGGGACUAGAAAAACAGUCAACAACUGAUGAAGGGUCGUUCUUUAUGUUGUUUGUUUUCCAUUUGUGUCUUUCGUUGUUCGAAAGAACAGUUCAUGUUCCAUGUACUCGUGCUUCGUACUUUUUUGUUGUACACGUUUCAUGACGUCCUGUGCCCACAUAUUAAUAUAUAUAUACGUAUAGAUUUAAGUAUGAACACAUAUGUAUGUAUGUUCCGGGCUCAGUCCCACGGCGUGGCAUCCUUGGCAAGUGUCUUCUACUAUACCCUUAAGCCGACUAAAAUCUUGAGUGAAUUUGAUGGAAACUGAAAGAAGCCUGUUCUGUGUGUGUGUGUGUGUGUGUGUUUGUCCCCCCACCCCACCCCAUCGCUUGACGACCAAUGUUGGUGUGUUGACGUAACGUAGCUGUUCAGCAAAAUAGACUGAUAGAAUAUGUACAAGGCUUACAAAGAAUAAGUCCUGGGAUCGAUUUCUUCGACUAAAAAUUUUUCCGCCAGUACUGGAUUUAAAUCAAGUGGGUGUUUCAUUAUAAGAUCUCCAAUUCACAAAUUUUAUUAAACUGAAAAUUUAGCCGAUUUUAUUUACCCAUCCCGUGUUUCACCUUUUUUUCAUAGCACAGCAUGCAAGGUAAAGAAAGUUAAUUUCGGCCUGUAUAUGUGUGUACACGAUCUUGUAGCAGUAUAAGUGGAUCUUGCAUGCAUGAAGUGGAUUCUAUCCACUAUAUAUAUAUAUAUAUAUAUAAACAGACAGAGAGAUAACUUUUGGAACUGCUGAUAAGAAAUAUAUUCUCCAUACAACUUGGUGUAGUCAACAUUCAUUGCCAUACUUAGAAGUCUUCGUGUGCUUUUACAUUUCUUAUCAAUACAGAACAAUCUCGUAUUGCACAUUUGCAUCUGGGUAUGUACCUAACAACCUAAAGGUUUAUACCUCAUAGUCAGUAAGUCUUUAAUGUUGUUUGCCGCCCACCUGUACUCUUAGCGAAGUAAUUUAGCUCUUACUAGCUCAGUCUACUUUCUUGUAAAUAGAUAUCUGUAGCUUCAUCUUAUCCCUUUUAAUACGGAGGUCACUGUAUACCUGAUGUGUUUCGCUAGCUUACUGAGGUCAUAAGUUAUCGGGAAUAUAUCUUGGCAGACUCCUGCUAAAUACAAUAUAUGAAUAUAAUUUUUUCAGUCUUCUAACGUCUCAAUGGAAUUUACCACCAAUACGUAAUAUAUGAUCGCGAAGACAUAUCUUUCAAAAUGUGACGUUUGUUCCAAGAGAGGCUACUCUUCCUACUAAUGCUGUCAUUAACCAGCCUACGUGCUUACAGCUCACGCAUAACUCAUUGCUGGAUUGUGCGUGUAAAAUCACCUUGUGAAAACAUACACUAAUACUUAUACAGUAAAACUGCUGCAUGGAAACAUUUGUUAUGUGGAAAACAUUUUUGUAUUUUUUACUGUCGUAUUUAUAGACAUAUAAUAAAAAAAUUUACCUUCGA